rnacentral:rRNA from 1 species
UGGUGCGAUCAUACCAGCACUAAUGCACCAGAUCCCAUCAGAACUCCGCAAUGAAACGUGCUUGAACGAGAGUAGUAGUAGGAUGGGUGACUUUCCGGAAAGUCUUCGUGUUGCAUCUU